UAAGAAACAUAAAUCAAAACUCCACUCAUUCAACAAAAACAAAGGCAAAAAAAAAGACGAAAAAUAAAGGAGAGAGACAAAGCUUGGGGAGAUGAGAUUGUGCAGAGGGAUGGACGCUUCAAAUAGGCUAAAACACUGCCACCGCCAUUGAAAAGAAGAGUUCUCUGAGCAUAUCAGGUUUCAUAGGUGGGCGUGAGGCGAGGUCAGAGAUAACACUCACGCCUCAAUAAUUCAUUCAAUCGCCCAUGGAUUCCAAUUCACAGUAGCCACUAAUUACGGUUGGUACUUCACAUUUGUUGAAGGAUUUGUCUAUAUUGUUCUCAUUUAUCUUCAACGUUUCACCACUAAAUAGAUGGUGAAUCCAUGGAAGACUUAUGUGAAGCUCUGUGCCAUCUUAAUGGGUUCUCAUGGACUUACCAAAGGGUCUUUGGCUUUUCUUAACUAUCCAGCAUAGCUCAUGUUCAAAUCCACAAAGGUAAAUAUUCAACUCCAUUACUUUUUUAAUUUCAUGUUGACAAAAAUAACAUUUUUCCUUACUAGACAUUUCGACAACUUCAGUUUCCGUUUGAUAGUCAAAUUGGGUCUCUUAAUCUGUAAUGGUGUAAAUGACUCAAAUUUGCUCAUUGACUCUUGCUAUGUGAAUCAAGUAAAUGGGAUCAAUUUGGCUAUAAUUGGAAAUUUAUUUUGCCAUCUCAGGUUUUGCCUGUAAUGGUCAUGGGUGCAUUCAUACGGGGCCUCAGAUGAAAAUACCCAGUUCAUGAAUAUGUAUUUGUAAUACUUUUAGUUUUAGGGUUGAUUCUUUUUAACUUAGCAGAUGCACAAACUUCACCAAAUUUCAGUAUGAUUGGUGUUAUAAUGAUAUUGGGUGCUCUAAUCAUGGAUUCGUUUCUUGUUAAUUUGCAAGAAGCAAUCUUUACCAUGAAUCCUGAAACCACCCAGGUGAUUAUCCUGUGCUAUGCUUUUAUGUUGUUUCUUAAAUUGAAAAAUUGUGACUUUAUUAUAUCUAAAUAUCAUCUUACUCUGUGACUUCUGUUAGUUUCAAUCUUAAUUGUUCUAUUUCAUUUAUUUAUGGUUUAAUUGGUGACUGUAAAGAAGAGAUCUACUGUUUUUACAGCUAUAGAGAACUGGAUUUCUCAAAUUUCCACCUUCUGUGGUUUUAAAUUUCAGAAUUAGAUUAAUUUGAGCUAGAAAGGCCUGAUUUUCAGUCCAUAGACUCAUCAAAUUCAGUUCCAAGUCUUGCAAAUAUCACAGGUUAAGAGUGUUAAAAUCACAUAUAACUUGAAUUUGAUCUUUAAAGUUACUGGAUCAUUGAAAGCUAAUUAUGUGUUUGGUGUGCACAAAUAUUGUUGGAGUGUACUUAAUAAUUGAAGUCUGAGAUUUUGUGAAAAUUGACUGUUGAAAAAUGACAAUUGCAAAUAACUUACCGAAAGAGAAGAAAUCCAGGAGAAGCAAACAAAGUUUUAUUGUGCAACAAAUUUUGUGGGGAUGGUGUAUAACUAUAAACUUUACAUAAAUUAAUUAAGAUUAGUUUUGCUAUUACAUAACACUGGAGAGAAUAGUAUAACAUUGUUGCAGAUACUUUGAUUGAAAUUGCAGUGGAUAGUGGGCUUCUUGAGCUUUUGGCAUCGAGGGGAGGUGCGUGCAUCAAGAAUUAGUGUAUUGCCAUGACACAUUUUCCUGGUCUCUACACAUAUGGGUUGGCUGUGGCGACUGCAAAAACAGGUCUUUUAGAGAAACUGACAUUUUUACAAAACAGGAGAAGUGUAUCUAAACGGUGUCCAAAAUCCAUGGUUGUUAAUAAUUUAGGAUUGGGUUUAGUCU